CUUUAAUACUAUCUCAAACUAAAGGAUAUAGAAGGUUUUCCCUUUCUCUUGCCCUGAAACCUUCUGUAUCCUUUAUUUUGAGAUAGUAUUAGAA
ensembl:miRNA MIR4509-3 microRNA 4509-3